GUGGCUCGUCUGGGUUCAAGAGAGAAAGAUAAAGGUACUGCGGCAAAGGGUGAGUUUGCUGGAUGUGCACCACAAAGGCCCUGGAGGGUUUGAAGCACAGGGCUGGCUGGCAUGGUGGUGACCGGCAAGUGAGCUGGGUGGAAAUUGUGGAGUUCGGAGUCAGUGCAGGCCAAGAGUUGCCGGCACAAAUGCAGGAACCAGCUGGUUCGUAUUUUUUUUAAUAUUUCCCGCAACACCCACAUGAAGACCAAGUUGAACAUCUGGUGCAUAUGUGAGUGGAUGCCUAGAUACAGCCCAUAGAUGUCCUUUGGUGGGUGGUUCAGACUCUGAGAGCCCAAGGCUCCAGGUUAUGGUCCAUCAUCCAAGGAAAUCAUGUCAGAAACUCAAGGCAGAAGUUGAGGCCACGAAGAAACACAGCUUUUAUAGG
rnacentral:lncRNA from 1 species